rnacentral:rRNA from 1 species
CGGUUAAACGCGAAGAAACCUUACCAAGGCUUGAACAUCCCCCGGAAAACGGCCAGAGAUGGUCGCCCCCCUUGUGGUCGGUGUACAGGUGGUGCAUGGUUGUCGUCAACUCGUGUCGUGAGAUGUUGGGUUAAGUCCCGCAACGAGCGCAACCCUCGUUCUAUGUUGCCAGCGCGUUAUGGCGGGGACUCAUAGGAGACUGCCGGGGUCAACUCGGAGGAAGGUGGGGAUGACGUCAAAUCAUCAUGCCCCUUAUGUCUUGGGCUUCACGCAUGCUACAAUGGCCGGUACAAAGGGCUGCGAUACCGUAAGGUGGAGCGAAUCCCAAAAAGCCGGUCUCAGUUCGGAUUGAGGUCUGCAACUCGACCUCAUGAAGUCGGAAUCGCUAGUAAUCGCAGAUCAGCA